rnacentral:tRNA from 1 species
GCGCCCUUAGCUCAAUGGAUAGAGCAUCAGUCUUCGAAACUGAGGGUUGGGGGUUCGAAUCCCUCAGGGCGUA